AUUGCAUCUUGGCCUUUUGGCUAAGACUAAAUGUGGUACCUGUUCUUAUUAAUCAGUUUAACAUCUGAUAAUGUCCUCUAUCCGAGAACAAAACAUCUGUGGAACUUUGGAGCAGGGAGAUGGAAAUGGGGUUUGCUCUGUUCACACUGCACAUAGACCCAGUAUAGCUGCCUUCCGGGAACAGUGCAUACCCU